AACCAAACUUCUGAUCUAACAUGUCUCAACACUACAUUACCCAUGAGCCUCGGCUGGUACGCAGUGAUGAUGCGUUCUAUUUGCACUCGGAUUCCAUGAGUUUCUAGGCGGAAAAACAACGAGAGUAGUUGACAGGUUCCCUCUGUUAGGACAAAUGCACAUGUGAUGAACAGUGUUUGUGACCGUGGCAACAGCUUCUCAGCUCUGUGAUUGGUUGCUGGUUGUCGAUGUUCCCGUACCUUCAGCUUGUUGCUAUGCUGACUCGUCCGUCUGUGGAGAAACUUUGAUUUGUGUCACAAUAAGAAAUAAAGUCAUUAAAUUCA